UGAACCUCAGCAUCAAUGAAAAUAUCCAGUAUAUCCAAUAUAUCCAAUUUAAGGCUUUAAGUUUGGAGCUAAUUGUACACUCAUAUAAAGGUUUUACACACAUCAAUAAUCUCCAUUUUAAAUUUUCGUUUAUAUGCCUUGGAUAUUUUUGAUUAAAAAUGAGAUGGAAGCAACUGGGGAAAGGUCAUUCCAUAAUUUUAAAGGUUUUUUGGGUUUGUUUUUUUUUUUUUGCUAAGAACUCAUUCUAAUGAAGAAUUGAGAACCCUAAAUUUAAAAUGCCAAAACAUGCUGUUUCAAGCAGCAGUGAUUCAUUUUGACUUGCUUCCUAUAUUCCAUAGAAAUCAAAACAUGUUUUGACAGCAUUCUGUCAAUAUUAUUAGCAGUAAUUAAUCAAUUCCCACAAAACAUUUCAAUUUCAGCAAGAAACUCAAACUGCCAAGAUGGUUGAUGGCUCUGGUAGAAGCACAGCAGCAAAACCUGUCCUGCCUCAGAGGUCUCAGUGGGAUACAAGAGUCAGCUGAACAUAGCAAUAUAUCUCACCAGCCAACCUCAAGCUCCCCGCGCCACCAAGCACACUAUCAGCCACAUCACUUGCCCUGUGUGUCACAGACCAGAGGGACUGUUGUUUUCAAUUUUCAUGAGGACUUGUGCCUAUUUUCAUAUUUCUCCUUUCCAGCUUGUGUGUGCAAGUAUCAGGCUUACCUUUUCUUUAUCAGAAGAUCAUUAAUGACACAGGAGAAUGACAUCAGGACUGACACAUGAAGAACUGCGUGCAGUAUUUUCAGUAAACCGAGGGGUUUCAGUGCUUCUCUAAAGAGAUUGGGAUUUUUUUCAGCCUUCAGCCAAAGUGUUAUCAAUUUCCUACACCUUUAAAAUGCUAGCUGUCUUGUUAACUUAGGUUUUGGAGGGUUUUUUUUAAAUGCUAAAUGUGCUUCUUAUAUCAAGAAUUAUGAAGAUUGAUCAACUAAGCACACUCACAAUAUGUCACAAAAUUUGAAAAACAUACCUGCAUUUGUUUAGCAGACUGAUGCUCUGCCUAAAUCACAGGUCAAUCAUAACAGGAUGGGAAAUUUGCCAUAAAAAAUAGGACCAAUACUUAUAAACUUGUUAAUUCAACCAUGUCAACUCAAGUGACCUGGGUUUAAAGUCAACUCACCUGAAAAAUCAAGCAUCUGAAGAAUAAGCAACAUAUCUCCCAGAUGAAGCAAUUGCCUAAUUAGUGACAGUAAAGCAAUGAGCAUCUCAUCAGUCUGCUAUUAAACACUGAAGAAAGCAUUAUUGUGUAUAUCUGGCAAACAGCUCCAGGUGACUUGACAGACAUAUUUAUGAUGAAAGAUAACUGCUAAUAACAGAAGCCAUUUCACAUUCCACACAGGAGAGACUAGGAGCUGAAAAAAUAUUUCAGAAGCAUCUCAAUGAUUUUGUGAUUAUAAAAAUGGCAUUUUUGUUACUGCCACCAAGCCUUGAAUGCAAUGCCAUGCUCCUUCUGUCUGCUUUAAGUUUUCUGCCUUUUGCAUUUGCAAAAUCAAAAGGGUUUACAAGAUGAGUGUGUUA
ensembl:lncRNA